GUUAGGUUUUCUGCUCGUCAAUCA
rnacentral:siRNA from 1 species